CAGCCGCCGCGGUAAUACGUAGGGUGCAAGCGUUAAUCGGAAUUACUGGGCGUAAAGCGUGCGCAGGCGGUUAUAUAAGACAGAUGUGAAAUCCCCGGGCUCAACCUGGGAACUGCAUUUGUGACUGUAUAGCUAGAGUACGGCAGAGGGGGAUGGAAUUCCGCGUGUAGCAGUGAAAUGCGUAGAUAUGCGGAGGAACACCGAUGGCGAAGGCAAUCCCCUGGGCCUGUACUGACGCUCAUGCACGAAAGCGUGGGGAGCAAACAGGAUUAGAUACCCCUGUAGUCCCUGUAUCUUAUAC
rnacentral:rRNA from 1 species